GUGUCAGCCGCCGCGGUAAUACGGGGGGUGCAAGCGUUAAUCGGAAUUACUGGGCGUAAAGCGCGCGUAGGUGGUUACGUCAGUCGGAUGUGAAAGCCCCGGGCUUAACCUGGGAAUUGCAUCCGAUACUGCGUAGCUAGAGUCUGGUAGAGGGUAGCGGAAUUCCAGGUGUAGCGGUGAAAUGCGUAGAUAUCUGGAGGAACAUCAGUGGCGAAGGCGGCUACCUGGACCAAGACUGACGCUGAGGUGCGAAAGCGUGGGGAGCAAACAGGAUUAGAAACCCCCGUAGUCC
rnacentral:rRNA from 1 species